UACCCUGAGAGCUUUCCGUAACUUAAUCCUUUCAUGGGUGUUAUAUGCACCGUGGGGGACAGAAGCAGGAAAGAAAGAGCCAUAGAACAGGAGGGAGAAUCAAGUAUAGAAAUUCAAGGGAAAGGAAAGAAGGGAGUUCAAAAGGGGGGUGGUGGAAUUUAGCAAAGGGGCAUUAGGGGUGGGCCUGGGUGAUAGACUGGGGAGAUGGAGAGAGAAGCUAUAUGAGCACAUAGAAACUAAGAAUGGUGCUGUUCUAGUAUAUAUCAAUAAAUACAAUUCUUCCCUGAAUGUGGAAAGUAAAUUAUAUAAAUCCUAAUACAUGGAGGAAGGGACUGGGAAUCAAUGUAAAAGACUGAAUCUCAAAACCAAAAAAUAAUUGGAGUUGGGGAGCACAAUUGGUGGGAAAGAGAAGGGAAAGAAAAACAAAGACCUAGGGCUUGGAUGAAAACAAGAAAAGGAUCAGGGAUUGCUGUAUGAAAAAUGCCUGCGAGAGAGGAAGGAACCUGCUAAUUGUUAAUCCAAGGCCAUCCAGCCAGUUGGCUUCAUUCAAUGGAAAAGGCAAGAGGACCAGUGUAAAUAAAUCAAGCCCAGUGAAUUAAUUCCCAGCAAGAACAAGUAUGGCCUAUAGAGUUUGCCACAGCAGCUCCCUAUGAGAGUUGGCCAUACAAGGAAUAACUGGAUUGAAGACUAAAGUCAGCUUUCAGGAAAUGUAGAAAGCAAGGAACAUUUUGCAGAGGUCUACGGAGUGUAUAGUAUUUGUCUUUCUGCCAUAGACCAGUUCAUACCCAGAGAAAGCUACAGUUGAUGUGGGAUCUACUUGUCAAAAGGCUGUCUGAGAGCAACAAUCCCAAGACUGGGUUAUCCAAGCCAUUGAGAUGGAAGCAGUGGGUACAUUGAUAACUCUAGUGAAGAACAUGGAAGAAGCAUACUACAUCAGGAAAUCCCCUUCCUUCUCUGGUCUCAUCAUGGCUUAAAAAGGCAUCAAAUUACAGCAAAUUUCACCGAGUCCUACUGAAUUGAAAAAGCUUCCAGUAUCAGCCUGACAACGCACUUCCUGUCUGCCAUCUAAGGAUCAGAGGAAAAAAAAAACAGUGACUAAAGGCUCAUUACCAAAAGUCUCUCAUCACCAUUUUACAGCCUUCAUUCCCAAAGGGUUUUCCCUUAGAUACUUUAAGACAACUGAUCAAAAUCAAAGGAGGAAAAAAAUUUUUAAUGCACUUAUUUUUUUUUUAAGAAGAAAUUUCAAGCCUCGUAACUCAGUGCCACAAAACCUGUUUUUAGAAAAACAGCUUUCUACAAUGUUUUUU